UCUCAUAGUCUGAUGAUGUCCCGGU
rnacentral:piRNA from 1 species